rnacentral:tRNA from 1 species
GGAGGCGUCUGGGUUCCUGGUGGGCCCCGCGGUCUUCAAAACCGUAGAGGGGGCGACGAGCUCCCUGGCGGGUUCGAUUCCCGUCCGCCUCCGCCA